GACGAACGCUGGCGGCGUGCUUAACACAUGCAAGUCGAACGGAAAGGCCCCUUUGGGGGUCCUCGAGUGGCGAACGGGUGAGUAACACGUGAGUAACCUGCCCUUGACUUCGGGAUAACUUCAGGAAACUGGGGCUAAUACCGGCUAGGAAUCCUUGCUGCAUGGUGGGGGUUGGAAAGCUUCGGCGGUUUUGGAUGGACUCGCGGCGUAUCAGCUUGUUGGUGGGGUAGUGGCUUACCAAGGCUUUGACGGGUAGCCGGCCUGAGAGGGCGACCGGCCACAGUGGGACUGAGAUACGGCCCAGACUCCGACGGGAGGCAGCAGUGGGGAAGAUUGCACAAUGGGCGGAAGCCUGAUGCAGCAACGCCGCGUGCGGGAUGACGGCCUUCGGGUUGUAAACCGCUUUCAGCAGGGGCGAAGCUUGUGGUGACGGUACCUGCAGAAGAAGCACCGGCUAACUACGUG
rnacentral:rRNA from 1 species